rnacentral:rRNA from 1 species
AGAGCGAACGCUGGCGGCAGGCCUAAUACAUGCAAGUCGAACGGAUCCUUCGGGAUUAGUGGCGGACGGGUGAGUAACACGUGGGAACGUGCCCUUUGGUUCGGAACAACUCAGGGAAACUUGAGCUAAUACCGAAUGUGCCCUUCGGGGAAAGAUUUAUCGCCAUUGGAGCGGCCCGCGUCUGAUUAGCUAGUUGGUGAGGUAAAGGCUCACCAAGGCGACGAUCAGUAGCUGGUCUGAGAGGAUGAUCAGCCACACUGGGACUGAGACACGGCCCAGACUCCUACGGGAGGCAGCAGUAGGGAAUCUUGCGCAAUGGGCGAAAGCCUGACGCAGCCAUGCCGCGUGAAUGAUGAAGGUCUUAGGAUUGUAAAAUUCUUUCAGCGGGGACGAUAAUGACGGUACCGCAGAAGAAGCCCGGCUAACUUCGUGCCAGCAGCCGC